rnacentral:rRNA from 1 species
CACAGCCGCGGUAAUACGUAGGGUGCGAGCGUUAAUCGGAUUUACUGGGGGUAAAGCGUGCGCAGGCGGCCCGUUAAGACAGGUGUGAAAUCCCUGGGCUCAACCUAGGAAUUGCGCUUGUGACUGGCGGGCUCGAGUACGGUAGAGGGGGGUGGAAUUCCUGGUGUAGCAGUGAAAUGCGUAGAGAUCAGGAGGAACACCGAUGGCGAAGGCAGCCCCCUGGGCCUGUACUGACGCUCAUGCACGAAAGCGUGGGGAGCAAACAGGAUUAGAGACCCCAGUAGUCCCUGUCUCUUAUACC